ensembl:misc_RNA Metazoa_SRP Metazoan signal recognition particle RNA
GCCAGGCACGGUGAUGCAUGCCUGUAGUCCCAGCUACUCAGGAGGCUGAGGUGGGAGGAUGGCUUGAGCCCAGGAGUUCCGGGCUGUAGUGCUCUAUGCCGAUCGGGUGUCCACACUAAAUUCAGCAUCAAUAUGGUGACCUCCCAGGAGCGGGGGACCACCAGGUUUCCUAAGGAGGGGUGAGCCGGCCCAGGUCAGAAACAAAGCACGUCAAAACUCCCGUGCUGUUCAGUAGUGGGAUUGCGCCUGUGAGUAGCCACUGUACUCCAGCCUGGGCAACAAAGCGAGACCCCGUCUCUA